UACCAGCACCCCGAGUGGUCGGGACGUUUUAUUGGGCCUAAAGCAUCCGUAGCCGGUUCUACAAGUCUUCCGUUAAAUCCAGCUGCUUAACAGAUGGGCUGCGGAAGAUACUAUGGAGCUAGGAGGCAGGAGAGGCAAGCGGUACUCAGUGGGUAGGGAUAAAAUCCGUUGAUCCAUUGAAGACCACCAGUGGCGAAGGCGGCUUGCCAGAAUGCGCUCGACGGUGAGGGAUGAAAGCUGGGGGAGCAAACCGG
rnacentral:rRNA from 1 species